rnacentral:piRNA from 1 species
UUGGCGAGACUGAGUGUAGAUUCUACUGU